rnacentral:rRNA from 13 species
GCUUACGGCCACACCGGCCUGAGUACGCCUGAUCUCGUCCGAUCUCGGAAGCUAAGCAGGGUAGUGCCUGGUUAGUACUUGGAUGGGAGACCGCCUUGGAAUACCAGGUGCUGUAAGCU